GUAAGUAUAGCACAAUGGUCAGUGUGAGAGCCUUCCAAGCUCAGGAUGAGGGUUCGAUUCCCUUUACUUGCUCA
rnacentral:tRNA from 1 species